rnacentral:rRNA from 1 species
CCUACGGGGCGCAGCAGUGGGGAAUAUUGCACAAUGGGCGAAAGCCUGAUGCAGCAACGCCGCGUGGAGGAUGACACAUUUCGGUGCGUAAACUCCUUUUAUGUGAGAAGAUAAUGACGGUAUCACAUGAAUAAGCACCGGCUAACUCCGUGCCAGCAGCCGCGGUAAUACGGAGGGUGCAAGCGUUACUCGGAAUCACUGGGCGUAAAGGACGCGUAGGCGGGUUAUCAAGUCAGGUGUG